rnacentral:rRNA from 1 species
UACGGAAGAUGCGAGCGUUAUCCGGAUUUAUUGGGUUUAAGGGGUGCGUAGGCGGGAUGCCAAGUCAGCGGUAAAAAUGCGGUGCUCAACGCCGUCGAGCCGUUGAAACUGGCGUUCUUGAGUGGGCGAGAAGUAUGCGGAAUGCGUGGUGUAGCGGUGAAAUGCAUAGAUAUCACGCAGAACUCCGAUUGCGAAGGCAGCAUACCGGCGCCCUACUGACGCUGAGGCACGAAAGCGUGGGUAUCGAACAGG